rnacentral:rRNA from 1 species
GACGAACGCUGGCGGCGUGCUUAACACAUUCAAGUCGAACGGAAAGUCCCUGCUUUUUUGUGGUUCUCGAGUGGCGAACUGGUGAGUAACACUUGAGUAACCUGCUCUUGACUUUGGGAUAACUUCAGGAAACUUGGGCUAAUACCGGAUAUGAUCUCCUUCUUCAUGGUGGCGGUUGUAAAGUUUCUGCGGUUGUGGUUGGACUCGCGGCUUAUCAGCUUGUUGGUGGGGUAGUGGCUUACCACUGCUUUGACUGAUAGCCGGCCUGAGAUGGUGACCGGCCACCUUGCGACUAAGGGAGGGCCCAGAUUAGUACAGGGGGCAGCGGGGGGAAAUAUGGCACAAUGGGCGGAAGCCUGAUGCAGCAGCGCCGCGCGCGGGAUGACGGUCUUCGGGUUAUAAACAGCAUUAGCUUGUGACGAAGCGGGAGUGACGGUAAUGGGUAAAUAAGCACCGGCUAACUACGUG